rnacentral:rRNA from 1 species
GACGAACGCUGGCGGCGUGCUUAACACAUGCAAGUCGAACGGAAAGGCCCUGCUUUUGUGGGGUGCUCGAGUGGCGAACGGGUGAGUAACACGUGAGUAACCUGCCCUUGACUUUGGGAUAACUUCAGGAAACUGGGGCUAAUACCGCAUAGGAGCUCCUGCUGCAUGGUGGGGGUUGGAAAGUUUCGGCGGUUGGGGAUGGACUCGCGGCUUAUCAGCUUGUUGGUGGGGUAGUGGCUUGCCAAGGCAUUGACGGGUAGCCGGCCUGAGAGGGUGACCGGCCACAGUGGGACUGAGAUACGGGCCAGACUCCUACGGGAGGCAGCAGUGGGGAAUAUUGCACAAUGGGCGGAAGCCUGAUGCAGCAACGCCGCGUGCUGGAUGACGGCCUUCGGGUUGUAAACCGCUUGCGCCUGUGACGAAGCGUGAGUGACGGUAAUGGGUAAAGAAGCACCGGCUAACUACGUG